AGAGUUUGAUCCUGGCUCAGAACGAACGCUGGCGGCGUGCUUAAUACAUGCAAGUCGUACGAGAAAGCCCGGCUUCGGCCGGGUCGGUAAAGUGGCGAACGGGUGAGUAACACGUGGAUAACCUGCCCUCAAAUCUGGGAUAAUUCUCCGAAAGGAGUUCUAAUACCGGAUAAGACCACGGGACGGCAUCGUCCUGGGGUCAAAGACGGGGUAACCUGUUGUUUGGGGAUGGAUCCGCGGUCCAUUAGCUUGUUGGUGAGGUAACGGCUCACCAAGGCUACGAUGGAUAGCCGGCCUGAGAGGGUGAUCGGCCACACUGGGACUGAGAUACGGCCCAGACUCCUACGGGAGGCAGCAGUAGGGAAUAUUGCGCAAUGGACGAAAGUCUGACGCAGCAACGCCGCGUGGGUGAUGAAGCAUCUUGGUGUGUAAAACCCUGUCAGUGGGGAAGAAACGUACGGGGAGUAACUGCCCUGUGCCUGACGGUACCCACAGAGGAAGUCCCGGCUAACUCCGUGCCAGCAGCCGCGGUAAUACGGGGGGGACAAGCGUUGUUCGGAUUCACUGGGCGUAAAGGGCGCGUAGGCGGGCCUUCAAGUCGGGUGUGAAAACUGGCGGCUUAACUGCCAGCCUGCACUCGAUACUGUAGGUCUUGAGUACAGGAGAGGAGAGCGGAAUUCCAGGUGUAGCGGUGAAAUGCGUAGAUAUCUGGAAGAACACCAGUAGCGAAGGCGGCUCUCUGGCCUGAUACUGACGCUCAAGCGCGAAGGCUUGGGUAGCAAACAGGAUUAGAUACCCUGGUAGUCCAAGCGGUAAACGAUGGGUACUAGGUGUCGGGGGUAUCGACCCCCUCGGUGCCGAAGCUAACGCAUUAA
rnacentral:rRNA from 1 species